rnacentral:tRNA from 1 species
CAAAACAGAGCUUGAUGAAAAGCAAUUCAUUUACAUUGAAAAGAUCAUUACGAAAAUGUGUUUUGA